rnacentral:tRNA from 1 species
AUAUAUAAAGUAAUUAGUUACGUUUAAUUUCGGCUUAAAGAUUUGAUUAUUAUCAUGUAUAUA